rnacentral:rRNA from 1 species
GCUAAAAAUCUAGCCCUACUUUAUUAUAUACCCCUUCCCCCGCCCACUCUCAUAAACUAAACCAUUUAUCUAUUUAGUAAAGGCGAUUAAAAGAUUAAUUAGCGCUAUAACAAUUGUACCGCAAGGAAAAGAUGAAAUAAAAGUGAAACAAAACUAAAGCAUAAAAAAGCAGAGCCACACUCUCGUACCUUUUGCAUCAUGAUUUAACAAGUCUAACCAGGCAAAAAGCAUUUCAGUCUGACCCCCCGAAACUAGACGAGCUACUUCGAAGCAGCUUAAUGAGCACACCCGUCUCUGUUGCAAAAGAGUGGGAAGACUUCCAAGUAGUGGUGAUAGACCUAACGAGUCUAGUGAUAGCUGGUUACUUAAGAAAAGGAUUUUAGUCCUACCUAAAGCACCAAUAAUUUACUAAAAUACAUCAAGUGCUUUAAUGCUAUUCAAAUGAGGUACAGCCCAUUUGAAACAAGGAUACAACCUGCACUAAUGGGUAAUCUUUAGAGUUCUACCUUAAGCAAGUGGGCCUAAGAGCAGCCACCUUUAAAAAAGCGUCAAAGCUUAUCUACCCUUCCCCCUCAUUAAUUAUACAAAAUACCCCGAAACCCUUUACCAGUACUAAGUUAUUCUAUAACCCUAUAGAAGCCUCCAUGUUAAAACUAGUAACAAGAAGAAGACCUUCUCUUGAAUGUAAGUGUAAAUCAGAAAGGACCCACCACUGAUAAUUAUCGCCUCUGAUCAUAUAACAGCAACCCCCGCUAGAAAACCCUGUUUUCCUCAGCGUUAACCUAACACCAGCACAUUCCAAGAAAGAUUAAAAGAAAAAGAAGGAACUCGGCAAAUAUUUACCCCGCCUGUUUACCAAAAACAUCACCUCUUGUACCCUAUCAGAGGCCCAGCCUGCCCAGUGACCCAGUUCAACGGCCGCGGUAUCCUAACCGUGCGAAGGUAGCGUAAUCACUUGUUCUUUAAAUAAGGACUAGUAUGAAUGGCACCACGAGGGUUCUCCUGUCUCCUUUUUCUAAUCAAUGAAACUGAUCUUCCCGUGAAGAAGCGGGAAUCUAAGUAUAAGACGAGAAGACCCUAUGGAGCUUCAAACUAAAUAGCAUUGGCUUUUCCCCUUAUGUGCCCCCGGGUGUUAAUACUUAUUCUAGCCUUUUAACUAUGAGUUUUGGGUUGGGGUGACCACGGAGCAAAAAUUAACCUCCAUGAUGAACAGAUUUACUCUUGAGCCAAAAGUCACGACUUUAAGCACCAAUAAUUUGACAUAAGUUGACCCAAUAUUUUGAACAACGAACCAAGUUACCCUAGGGAUAACAGCGCAAUCCACUUCAAGAGCUCUUAUCGACAAGUGGGUUUACGACCUCGAUGUUGGAUCAGGGUGUCCUAGUGGUGCAGCCGCUACUAAAGGUUCGUUUGUUCAACGAUUAAUACCCU